GAAAAAUCUCCUUUAGACCUUGUUAGGCCACACAGCACAAGGACACAGCAACCUCUCCAAGCCCAAGGAGUUCCUUUCAGUAGCCAAAGGUUUAUUGUAAAGAUUUAUUUUAUAAUGUCAGUUCCUCAUGUCAGGCUGACUGCCCUGUAGUUCCCUGUCUUCUUGAGGACACUUGCUGCCACCUUUGUUUUGUAUCCUGCUUUUUUGGGACAGACCAUUGUUGAGUUCAGUGGAGCAGCUCCUUGAACACCAGUCCCAUCCUGAGCCUCUCUUCUCUACAGGAAUCUCUGCCAUGGAACUCCAGCAUCUCAUGAUUACUGCCCUGACCAGUUCUUCUCUGUGUUUUUAAAAACAAAUGGAGUGUAAGAAGAAAAAGAAGGGAAAGGAAAUUAAGAAAAGUUGCCCUUUUUCAGUCAGAAUGGCUGCUUUGCCACCCCGCAGAGUCACAUAUGGAGAACAGGACACAGGCACCACCUGUUCUACUGUUACAUUUCAGCUUCCUCCUGUGGAGUUAAGGGUCGAGUCCAACAGCCCUGUACAGAACCUGCUGAAUGGUGCCAUCUCCAUGCUUCCAGCUGUCAAGUCCCUGCCCCAUUGAUCUGUAAGAAAUCUGCUCAGUGACCUCUGUGGACAUUGUCUGAGGGAGUAUUCUUUGGAGAGCUGUGCUAAAGCCUAGUUCCUGUGAAGUUUCUCCGAGAAGUGCUGUGCUCCUUGCUCCUGUGCCCCCUCUGCACUGCAAGGAAUGAAUGCAGCUUCCACAGGAGGUCUGAGUGCUGCUCCUGGCUCCAUUCAGGAUCACUCUGGUGAUGUUCACAAUCAUAGCUCUCCCCUAGUGACAGACAGUCUUCAAAGUGAGAAGGGGCAGGAGAGAUUUCUUGGGAGUCUCUCAGUCAUUUUCAGAGGUACUUGAACACUGUGGCUGCUGUUUUGAAGUCCUGGGCAGAGGUGAGCUUGUGAUCUGUGAGCUCACGCAAGCUGAGUUUAUUUCCCUCUUUUGUGACACUGGUGACAUGCACCAAAGCUGAAAGCUAGCUUGGAGUCUGAAGCUGGCCUAUUUCUGCAAGAGAUCAGAUGAUGUCCAUAGGACCUUUCUAACCUAAAUUCUUCUGUGGUUUAUGUUUGUACCUGGAGAAAACUGGAGCACAGCUCCUAGUGUUACGUUGCUGUGUAAAUAGCUGCCAGGGAGUGAGCCUGCUACCCUGCUGAGCUGAAAAUAAACACGAAUUGCUUCUAAAACUUCUUCA
rnacentral:lncRNA from 1 species